rnacentral:rRNA from 1 species
UACGGAGGGUGCAAGCGUUAUCCGGAUUCACUGGGUUUAAAGGGUGCGUAGGUGGGUUGGUAAGUCAGUGGUGAAAUCUCCAGGCUUAACUUGGAAACUGCCAUUGAUACUAUCAAUCUUGAAUACCGUGGAGGUCAGCGGAAUAUGUCAUGUAGCGGUGAAAUGCUUAGAUAUGACAUAGAACACCCAAUUGGCGAAAGGCAGCUGGCUA